UACAGAGGGUGCAGGCGUUAAUCGGAAUUACUGGGCGUAAAGCGUGCGUAGACGGUUAUGUAAGUCAGAUGUGAAAGCCCCGGGCUCAACCUGGGAAUUGCAUUUGAGACUGCAUAGCUAGGGUGCGGAAGAGGGAAGCGGAAUUUCCGGUGUAGCGGUGAAAUGCGUAGAUAUCGGAAGGAACACCAGUGGCGAAAGCGGCUUCCUGGUCCAGCACCGACGUUCAGGCACGAAAGCGUGGGGAGCAAACAGG
rnacentral:rRNA from 1 species